rnacentral:rRNA from 1 species
AUUGAACGCUGGCGGAAUGCUUUACACAUGCAAGUCGAACGGCAGCACGGGGGCAGCCCUGGUGGCGAGUGGCGAACGGGUGAGUAAUACAUCGGAACGUGCCCGGUCGUGGGGGAUAACGUAGCGAAAGUUACGCUAAUACCGCAUACGAUCUGAGGAUGAAAGCGGGGGACCUUCGGGCCUCGCGCGAUCGGAGCGGCCGAUGUCAGAUUAGGUAGUUGGUGGGGUAAAGGCCUACCAAGCCGACGAUCUGUAGCUGGUCUGAGAGGACGACCAGCCACACUGGGACUGAGACACGGCCCAGACUCCUACGGGAGGCAGCAGUGGGGAAUUUUGGACAAUGGGCGCAAGCCUGAUCCAGCCAUUCCGCGUGCAGGACGAAGGCCUUCGGGUUGUAAACUGCCUUUGUACGGAACGAAAAGGCUCUGGCUAAUACCUGGGGCUCAUGACGGUACCGUAAGAAUAAGCACCGGCUAACUACGUG